UACGAAGGGGGCUAGCGUUGUUCGGAAUCACUGGGCGUAAAGCGCACGUAGGCGGCUUUCUAAGUCAGGGGUGAAAUCCUGGAGCUCAACUCCAGAACUGCCUUUGAUACUGGAGAGCUUGAGUCCGGGAGAGGUGAGUGGAACUCCGAGUGUAGAGGUGAAAUUCGUAGAUAUUCGGAAGAACACCAGUGGCGAAGGCGGCUCACUGGCCCGGUACUGACGCUGAGGUGCGAAAGCGUGGGGAGCAAACAGG
rnacentral:rRNA from 1 species